AGGUGAUUUUCUUUCUAUGUUAACAAAAAAUUAGAGCGCUGCACUUUGGAAGAAGAAAGUUUUCUGUUCCUCCAGAUAGGAUAAAGGGAAAAAGAUCAUUAUUGGCAAGAAAUAGAAUGGUGGUGAGAAAAGAAGAUUGUAGGGAGUGACAAGCUGAUCCUACUGUCAAGAAUGUGACAAUUUGGUUGGAAAUUUUCUGUCUGAGAACUGUCAUUCAGAGCUGAGAGAAAUGAAUAAGAAGGUAAUGUCAAACUUUUUAAAACAGUGCUUGAAUCCUUCAGUUUGAACCUCUAUUACAGCUAUGGUGCUUCUGCGAGAACUACAUGAUAAUGCCAGUAACAACCGAAGAUAGUUACUGCAUGCCUGGAGUGAUAACAUAAUAUGCAAAGUGAAUGACUUUUUAGGAAUUCUAUCACUGACUUUCAAAUUAGAAAAAAAAUCAAAGUUCUUUAUUUUAAACAUAAAACCACUUUUAUUCAAAAAAGUGAGGAAAGAAUCAAGGAAGUUCAUUUGGUGUUCUAUGAAGCAAAAAAGUCAACAACAUUCCAUCCAAAAGUUGAUAUGUAUUCUAAAGUACUUCCAAAACAAGUUUUGAAGUAUUAUGUAUUAUAAACAAGCACAGUUUCAAAGAUUUUACACUCUCUUAGGUGCCUUUGAUAUCACAAUUCACAAGAAUCAUGGUUUUUAUAAUUUUACAUGGAGAUUUAACUUCAAAAUUUAGUAUUUGCUUAUUUUUAUUUACACAGAUCUUACACACAAGAUCAACCUUAUUUUGUCAGUAUACUCUCCUUGAAAAUUCAUUGUUAAUGUAGAGAAAAGGGAUGCAUCAAAGUCUGUCCUUCUCUGGACUGCGAUUCCAAAGCAUCUACUACUUAAUUUCAUAAUCUAUCUGACAUUUGUUUCUGGGUAUAACAUGCCCACAACGUUUUCUGGCCUUCACAGCAUCUAUCUCUUUCCAGUCUAAAAUUUCCUAAUGAUUCCUGUUUCCUGAUAAUCUGAAUAAAAUCAUGGCUUUUUUGUGAUUUACAACUCCUAGAAGUUAAGUAAUUUUCAAGGUGGAGGGUAUGUGAGGGGUUGCCUUUUAUAGGACACAAUAGUGAGGAUAAUACAUUUGACUGCAGAUACUGUAAAUGACAGAAAUACAGUUACAGCUGCAAACUGUGCUUUUCCUUUGCCUACUUUUUUAAAAUUUGGCAGCAGUUGAGUGGCAUAUACGUAUGGCACAGACAGUUCUGUUGGUCCAGCCCACAAAUUCUCCUGUAAAUAUUGUUACUCAGUAGAAAAAGUUGCCACCCAGACAUCUAUGAACACACAUGAUCACAGAUACAUUAACAUCUCUUAUCUGGGGAGUGGACACACCACACUUCCUUUCCAUAGGUAAUUCAGCAUGCAAUCUCUUGCUUGACAGUAAACCACAAACCUAAUCAGGUUACUUACCAAUAAGAAAUAAUAUGUUGUUGUUUGUCCUUGAAUAAACAGAGCUGCCAGUUCACAAAAAAGAGUAAUCUGUUUUUAUUACAGUAACGUUAGGAGAAAUGUCUUUAUUAGUUUACAUCUUCACCGAUACAGGUGUACAAAGACUCUUUAUAUGAACAUGCAUGAAUUUUCUCAAGGGUGUAUACGCUGCACAUCAUGUCUGUUCUCACUGAUCUCUGAAGAGGCACGAACCAAAGCGAAUAUAAGUGUGCCUGUCUUUAACUCGAUUAUCAUAAUAUUGGUACCUUUUGUUUUCUGCUAAAGCUUCCUCAUACAAAAAUAAUUCACAACUAAAAUGAGGUCUUUCUGUUCAAGGUUUCCUCAUCCUGAGUGCAUGCUUAGUCUCUCCGCUCCACAUUCAUAAAUAGCUUGAGAGCUUUCAAGCAUCUGAGGUCAUUGUGCUUCACACAAUUGUUCUUUGUUGCACUUUGUGAAGGAGAUUACAUGAGGGCAAGCUGGAAUUCCUGGAUAUCAUAUUUCUCACUAUUGAAGGGCUAUCUCCUUGAAUAAAAAAAGCAAUAAGGCUAUCUGAAGUGACCUUGGCAGUUGUUCCCAUGCUUUAUGACAUUAUACAAUUAGAUAUGAGUUCAAAUAAAGAAGUUCUAGAAAAUCAUAGGGACCAAUUUCAAGCCCAGUAAUGUCUUUGAUCCGAUCAAAUUUUGCUGAAUGAAGGAUAGAUUUUCUGAAAUAUAGACCUAAGCAUAAAAUAAAUUAUUUGGCUAGUAUUUUCCUGCAUGAUUUAACCCUGUCUGUUAUAGUACUCCAUUGUCAGCAAUUGCUGAGCUGUUAAUCCUUGUGGAAGCGUUAAAAUUAAGCAAGUGUAAUGGAAACAAGUUACUGCUCACUAGGGGUAAUUCUUAGUAAGUAGAGCCAAAAUGCAAAUUGCAAAGAAUCUCAUUAUUGCUAAAAGAAUGUCACUAGUGCAACUACUUGAUGGUAGAUAGCAGAUAAAGUGUUCAACCCCAUAUAACACAAAAAUAUGUCAAAUUGUUUUUCUUUCCUUUCAGCUUGAUGAAAACGAGUCAUGCAACUGAGUGCAAGGGAAAAAAAGUCUGUCUCCUUCCUUUAAAAACCCUAUGAUGCCAUUACUUAGUGAGAGAGGCAGGACAUCUCCAAGAUUCCAGACUGCUAAUUUUCAGAAAAUAAGAUAGUGCUUAGUGGAGGGAAACAGUUGUACCAUUGGAAAGGGAAAGGCAUCACAGAGACUGAAUCUUACCUUGCACUCCUAAGAAUUCAGUAGGAAGAAGCAUAUGUGGCAGCCCCCACUGAAAAUGUUUCAGUUGAGUCUUUGCUUCAUUAGAGGUCCAAAAACCUAUUCCAAAAGCCAGAGCAUACCAUGAUUCUAAUCAGUAUGCAGAGUGGCCUGUGCUCUUGUGCCUAAGCUAAUUUUAAACAUGACCUUAUUCUCUGUUUUAAAUUAUACUGAAGAAUGUAUUCACUUGAAGACAAAAAUUUGUGCAUCUGGGCACAGCAGGGUUAAUACUUUCUUCCCUCAAAUUUAACUCUGCUUAAGUAAUUGAGAGAUUUCUCAGUGUCCUGGAACUACAGAUCUAGAUCUGGCUAGCACCACUUAGCUGCUCUCAACAGAAAGGUCCUCAUUCGGGCCCAAAACGAUAAAUCCUCACUGGAUGCAGAAGUCAUGGUUUGUGUUAUCUAUAUUUCUUCCUACAUUACUGUGAUUCUGGUUUCACAAAGUGUGGUAAGGAGCUGUCAAGAAACUGUUGGGUUCCUGUGCAUGGUCGUUCAUUGACAGCCGGUGACAGCAGUUUGGAUGAAGACCCUGAGAAAUAUACACUUCUAUCCACAGUUAAAAAAAAGAUGGGAAAGAAAAGUUAGUAACACUUAGAUGAUGGGUGGGUAUUUUUGUAUGUAUGGAGUGCAACGGUGCAGAACUAAAUCUCAUAAAGACUUACGUAAAAUAUAUUUACAGGGAAGUAGCCAUGGUGUAUUCAUAAAGGGAACAGGAUUUUUGUGUAUUAUAUCCUCAAAUAUCUGCUACAAAUAUUCAUUAUUUUAUAUAUCCAUCAUAUCCUUAGCACUCAGCUUAGGCCCUAUGGUGCCCCAAGAACCAGAAGGCACGUUCUGCUUGUCCUCAUCCCACCAAGUCCCCCAUGAGAAAGGAGUCAGGGCAACUCUUUAACUGUUCCCUCAGUUACCACACCUUUUCUAUGAUGCUAAAUUACAGCUGAGAAAUAUGUUUUCAGCAGAUUUAUGAUUAAAAAAUAAAACCUAUUAAAUUAAUGUAAACCUUUUUCCCAAGUGUGACAGUUUUGUUUCGAGAAGACAGACUACAAUGACAAGAACCAUAAUUUCAAAUUUCAGAAAAGUUUCUGUUUUGGUUGUGUUUUGAAGCAACUACUUUGCUUUUUGUGAGAUAAAGUGCAAAUAUUUAAAAAGAUGAAUUUGUCAAAAUGCAUUAUUCAAACUAACUAGAAACUGUCAGGGUUUUGUUUAUUUGGGGAAUUUAGGGUGGAGUACAAACAUCUGGAAACUUUUCUAAAAGAAAAAUAAAAUGUUUUAGUUAAAUAAUUUGCCUCAAGCACUUUAUUUGACAAGUGCUUGAAAAGUUACUAAUUUCAGGCUGCAGUUAAGAGGAAGGAGAGGUACAAAAAUAGCCUUUUUUAAUGAAGAUCUCUUUCUUUAUGGUCACUAAUGUAUAAAAGAUUUAGAUGGAUUUGCUGCAUUUCAUGAGAUUACUGAUAGCUCUAGUGUUUUCGUAGUGUGUCUGCAGAGACCACAUCACACAAGCAGAUGUCUGGUUAAUGAAAUUUCACAUGAAUACCUGGUCUGCAGUCCAGCAUUUACAGCCAUUGUUAGGCUCACAGGAAGUGUAAAGAAACCUGAAUGCAUUGCAUUUUAUUGUAUUUGGCCAUCUUUUUCUACUCUUUAAACAAAAAAAAUUCCAUAGUUACAAUAAUUUUGCAUGCUCCUAAGCCAAACAAAAGGCAGAAGGAAGCAGUUCCUCCUUUGUGAAUGCAAGUGCAGUCAGCAUGUUUUAAAUGAAAGACAGAAUGUUAAUUCAGACCUGUGAAAGAGCACAAAAUACAAUAACCAAAAAAAAGGUUCGAGCACUAAGGUUGCAGAGCUCUCAGUAGACAGU